CAUGUUGAUCAGGCUGGGUAGGAGCCAGGAAGGGGAUGGCUUGGCCUUGCUGUCUUAAAGAGGAGAAGGUGGGAGAGGUGAAGGAGGUGGAAGGAGAGGCAGGCACCACUGGGUGUAACACUGGAAAAACUACUGAGAAGAAAAAUACGUGUGGAUACAAGUGGAUCUGCACAGUUCCCAUGUUGUUCAUUGGCCAGCUGUACUUUUUAUUAUAUGACAGGAUAUCUCUAGUGAGAAGAGGUCCUCAGAUGCUGUGGAAAGGAAUGAGAGGAUUCAGUUGCAUUUGUCACUAAACCCCAGCAGGCAGUGCCAUCCCUUCCUUGCUUGGCCUUGAUGUGGCUUCUCUGAGUGCCUAAUGUCUUUUUGUUGUUGUUAGAUGGAGCCUUGCUCUGUCACCCAGGCUGGAGUGCAGGGGCACAAUUGUGAUA